UAAGGACAGUGAAUGUUUAUGUCGAAGAUAUUCAACGUCAUAAACAUCUAAGUUGAAUGUUUAUGACGUUGAAUAUCAACGUCAUAAACAUCUAAG